AUGUGCCUUCACAUCAAUAAUGGCAUCCAGCAUGAAAGCUUUUCUUUUUCUGCAUCCGCUGCUCUGUUAAGUGAUCACCACAUUCAUUGUUCUCGUUUCUAUUAUUUCUGAAAAAAAUCUUCAGGAUUCUGCUUGUGGGAGUGGAUGACAUUUUUACAGUGUUUACAGGCUGAAAAUUUUUCGAGCUUUUAUGCUCUGCUUCCGUUAUAAGGAGGAGGCCUCACAAUCCUGGUGGAAGGCAAGGAGGAGCAAGUCACAUCUUAUGUGGAUGGCAGCAGGCAAAGAAAGCUUAUGCAGCUUUAUCUAUUCCAGAAUGUCAUAUAGCUGGUAUAAGGUUGUCUUCAUUCAUUUCCACAGUUUCUCUGGAGGUUCCAACAAGAUACGGUCUCCAUUGCCCAUUGCUCUGGACCCCAGCCAUCACCCAGUGCAGCAGUGAUGCCUUAUGACAAGUCAGCACCUGGUCUGAACUCUGCUCUCUUUGCACUGAAUUCUUUGAGUUUUUAUUCCAAGUUCAGUCAUUGGUUUUAGUAUUGGUUCCCAUCUGCUUGGCAUCCUUGGUGGAAUUGGGCUUCUUUUUUCAAUUUCUUUUUGCUGUCUUUUUGUUUUACUGUGUUGAGUAGUGCUAUCUAAAUGUGUUUAUCAUAAAAGAAGCAGCACAUGAUCAUAGGCCCAUGAGCCUGUUUUUCAAGCCAGCCAAACAGCACAUUUAGUUUGACAUUCACACUGGACCUCUGUCCAUUUUUAUAAACUUCGCUUUGGGUCAUCAAUAAAACUAAAUGAAGUUCUCUCU
rnacentral:lncRNA from 1 species